ACUGGGCUGGAAAAUCGAGUGA
rnacentral:miRNA from 1 species